UGAGGAAUAUUGGUCAAUGGGCGGGAGCCUGAACCAGCCAAGUAGCGUGAAGGACGACGGCCCUACGGGUUGUAAACUUCUUUUAUAAGGGAAUAAAGUUCGCCACGUGUGGUGUUUUGUAUGUACCUUAUGAAUAAGCAUCGGCUAAUUCCGUGCCAGCAGCCGCGGUAAUACGGAAGAUGCGAGCGUUAUCCGGAUUUAUUGGGUUUAAAGGGAGCGUAGGCGGGCUUUUAAGUCAGCGGUCAAAUGUCACGGCUCAACCGUGGCCAGCCGUUGAAACUGCAAGCCUUGAGUCUGCACAGGGCACAUGGAAUUCGUGGUGUAGCGGUGAAAUGCUUAGAUAUCACGAAGAACUCCGAUCGCGAAGGCAUUGUGCCGGGGCAUAACUGACGCUGAGGCUCGAAAGUGCGGGUAUCAAACAGGAUUAGAUACCCUGGUAGUCCGCACGGUAAACGAUGAAUGCUCGCUAUGGGCGAUAUAUUGUCCGUGGCCAAGCGAAAGCGUUAAGCAUUCCACCUGGGGAGUACGCCGGCAACGGUGAAACUCAAAGGAAUUGACGGGGGCCCGCACAAGCGGAGGAACAUGUGGUUUAAUUCGAUGAUACGCGAGGAACCUUACCCGGGCUUGAAUUGCAGGUGCAUGAGUCAGAGAUGAUUCUUUCCUUCGGGACUCCUGUGAAGGUGCUGCAUGGUUGUCGUCAGCUCGUGCCGUGAGGUGUCGGCUUAAGUGCCAUAACGAGCGCAACCCUUCUCCCCAGUUGCCAUCGGGUAAUGCCGGGCCCUCUGGGGACACUGCCAUCGUAAGAUGCGAGGAAGGUGGGGAUGACGUCAAAUCAGCACGGCCCUUACGUCCGGGGCCACACACGUGUUACAAUGGGGGGUGCAGAGGGCCGCUGUCCGGUGACGAUCGGCCAAUCCCUAAAACCCCUCUCAGUUCGGACUGGAGUCUGCAACCCGACUCCACGAAGCUGGAUUCGCUAGUAAUCGCGCAUCAGCCAUGGCGCGGUGAAUACGUUCCC
rnacentral:rRNA from 1 species